CUGACAGGCUUUCCACGUAGCCUGAUUAAAGGGAAAUGUAAGUAUGAAGUCGCCAACACGACAAGGAGGGACACCUCUGUCCUGAGUCACGCGGUUCCACGGGACGGCUGGAGCCUUGAGUUUAUAAAAACAUCAUCCUGAUGGUACAAGGGAAAUAUCCUUCCCAGAUGGCACAGUUAAGAUUCUCCACUCUGAUGGUCGAGAUGAGAGCAUUUUUCCAGAUGGGACCGUUGUCAAGAUAUCACAACAUGGGGAAAAGGUGGUGGAGUUUGCUAAUGGGCAGAGAGAGAUUCAUACUUCACAGUACAAGCGAAGGAUGUACCCGGAUGGAACGGUUAAAACACUCUACACGAAUGGGAGGCAAGAAACAAAGUUCUCAUCUGGGAGAGUUCGCAUUAAGAACAAUGAAGGCAUCAUUAUAAUGGACAAAAAAUGAACUUCUAAAAAACAUUUUCAUGUUAUUUAUUUAUUGUUGUUUUUUUAUUGACAGAAUUUAUAGUAACUAUCGUUUAGCAUCUUUCCCUUACCACAUAUUGAAAAAAUACUUUUUUGGAGUUUCAGGUGCUGUUUUGCAUUUUAUUUAUGGUGAGUACUAUAGACAAAACUCUACUGAAGCCAUAAUCAGGAAGCAUUAAUGCAAUUUGUUGAAUAUUCUUUAUUAUGAUUUCAACUGGCUAAAAUCAUCUAAACCUUUUUUUUAACUAAAGAUAUCAAUAAACUUUAUGAUAAUCGGAUGAACUAAGCCAGUUUAUUUUUACAUGUACUGACAGCAGGCGUCUUGUAUUUCUAAGUUUCUCUCAGCAUGAACACAUUUGAUACAGCAUGCAGGUGUAGACUUGUUACCCUCUGAACUAGCGCUGACCUUGUAUUACAUUAAAACACUCUGGUUUCAGUAGAGGAACAUUCCUGAAAUAGUAAAGAAGAGCUGGUAACAUUGUUAACUUUAACCCCACUGUAGGAACAGUUUGGGGACUGUAGGAACAGUUUAUGUCAUUUUUGGUCUUUAUUUUAUUUACAAUAAGCCAUACAUUAUUAUUGAAUAAUACAUCAAUUUAAUCAAAUAUCGUCAUGUUACUUUUCAAUAUUAUAGAAAUUGGCACUUAGAGAAGGUUUAAACCUGUGUCCAUUUACUGUUGUUUUCAAAGGGAGGAUUUUUAACCUUAGUUUAAUUUCUAGGUUAUGUAUUUUUCCUGUUAUGCCUUUAAAAUACUUUUUUUUACGUUUAUUAAAAUGUUAAAAUAUGUGUCAGCUUAUCUGUCUUGGUGCUAUGUUUUGUGGUUGUAGAUGUUUUAGUCUGACCUUAGUAUAUGAACAUGAAAUGAACAUUACUAUUCAAAAGUUUGGGGUCAGGAUGUUUGUUUUUGUUUUUAAAGAAAUUUAUACUUUUAAUAAACAAGCAUGCAUUAAAUUGAAUUAAAGUGACAAUAAAGAUAUUUAUAAUGUUGCAAAAGGUUUCUGUUUCAAAAUUUCUUUAGGAUAAAAGGAUCUCAAAGGAUUAAAAAAAAUCAUAUUUCCACAAAAUAUAGAAAAAUAUAGCAGCACAAAAACAUUUAACAAUAAGAGGAAAUUAUUCUGGAGCAACAAAUCAGAAUAUUAGAAUAAUUUCUGAAAGAUCAUGUGACACUGAAGACUAAAGUCAUGACUGCUGUACAUUCAGCUUUACCAUUACAUGAAUAAAUUACAUGCAUAAUUUUUUUUUUAUAAUAUAUAAAAAUUGGAAAUGGUUAUUUUAAAUUGUAAUAUUUCACAUUAUUUACUGUGAUUUUGUGCAAAUAAAUGCAGCCUUGAUGAGCAUAAGAGACUUCUUAAAA